UAAGAGCUUGCUCUUAUGAAGUUAGCGGCGGACGGGUGAGUAACACGUGGGUAACCUGCCCAUAAGACUGGGAUAACUCCGGGAAACCGGGGCUAAUACCGGAUAACAUUUUGAACCGCAUGGUUCGAAAUUGAAAGGCGGCUUCGGCUGUCACUUAUGGAUGGACCCGCGUCGCAUUAGCUAGUUGGUGAGGUAACGGCUCACCAAGGCAACGAUGCGUAGCCGACCUGAGAGGGUGAUCGGCCACACUGGGACUGAGACACGGCCCAGACUCCUACGGGAGGCAGCAGUAGGGAAUCUUCCGCAAUGGACGAAAGUCUGACGGAGCAACGCCGCGUGAGUGAUGAAGGCUUUCGGGUCGUAAAACUCUGUUGUUAGGGAAGAACAAGUGCUAGUUGAAUAAGCUGGCACCUUGACGGUACCUAACCAGAAAGCCACGGCUAACUACUG
rnacentral:rRNA from 1 species